rnacentral:rRNA from 1 species
UACGGAGGGUGCAAACGUUGCUCGGAAUCAUUGGGCGUAAAGAGCUCGUAGGCGGUUUGUCGCGUCUGCCGUGAAAGUCCGGGGCUCAACUCCGGAUCUGCGGUGGGUACGGGCAGACUAGAGUGAUGUAGGGGAGACUGGAAUUCCUGGUGUAGCGGUGAAAUGCUUAGAUAUGACAUAGAACACCAAUUGCGAAGGCAGCUUACUACGGAUAUAUUGACACUGAGGCACGAAAGCGUGGGGAUCAAACAGG